UCCUCUAAUCGCUGAUUGGUCAAAUCGGCUCCGCUCUCCAUUUUCAAACAAGAUAGCGUCGGUUCAAGAAGGUGAAAGUUGAAAGGUUCUAUUAUUACUUUGUUCAACGAACCAUGUAUGCCCUUAUGGAGUGGAUAGAGGAAGAAAAGGUCAGCAUCAUAACCAUAUCACGCAUCAAAGAUCCAAGAAAGGAGUUUUGCCAGUAUAAAGUUGGGGAUUUGGUGAAAGUCAGCUGCCAUGGCUUUUCUGGCGUGCAUCCCGCCAAGAUCUUAGGUAGGCCUUUUCAAGCAAGUUUCUGUUUACAAUAUUUACACAAAUUUUGUCAGAAUGUAUUAAGUUUAUUUUAACUUGAGGAUAAUUAAAACUGCAGUUGGACUAUACAGUCCUACAUAUUAGCCCUUCUUGAUUCCCUCCAUUUUGUUGACAAAAUACAUAUUCUUAUGUGGACAAACAUUUUUAAAUAAUAAAAGUACGAUUAUGAAAAUUUACAUGAUUUAGAAAUAAGAAAAUGUGUUUAUAAUAGUAUAGAAUUUCCCUUCCCUAAUACUGAAAAAAAUAUUUAUUAGGCCAUAUCUUUAAGAAAAUAUUUGCUUGCCCUCUAGGCCUCUCCCGACUAGGGAUAAAAAGGGUCGAGUAGGAAAGUAGGGAGAAAAUUCUUUUUUAUUCACAUGAAGUUAAAAAAGCUAUAAAUUAGAUAAGAAAAUUUCGGAAUGAGUAAUAAAAAAAAUGUUAACUGGAGGUUAAAAAAGUUUUCGAGUCUUUUUUUUUUAUUUUUAAUAAUAAUAAUAAAGCUUUGAAAUAAAUGGAUUGUGAUUUUCUUUUAUCUUGGCUUCUUUUUCUUAUUCUAGAUGAUGGAGCUGAUGUCUGGUAGUGGGAUCUACAUUUAUCCCAAAGAUAUACAAGCUUUAUAUAAGCCAAAAAAAAAAAAAAACAACAAGUGGAACUUUUCAGGAGGGGGAACCUAACUGGUGCAAAUGAAAAGACCAUUUUAAACACUAUUCUUGACGAUGCCGGGAUUCAGAGGCCAUUGUCAAGUUUUCGAUGAGGACCAAGAUUAGUUCCCAAGUCAGCCUCCAGAACAUGAAACAGACCUAGC